rnacentral:tRNA from 1 species
GCCGAGUUAGCUCAGCUGGUAGAGCACCUCCAUGGUAAGGAGGGGGUCAGCGGUUCGAGUCCGCUACUCGGCU